ensembl:lncRNA
GGCCGAUAGGUUAUGAAGGCCGAUAGGGUAUGAAGGCCGAUAGGGUAUGAAGGGGAACUAUGAUUUGUACUAUGACAUGAAACGCAUAUGGUGUCUAGCUAGCAACAGUAAAAUGUGGUCCUUUCCAUGUCAUAAUGUAGGUUUGACGGAGGAUGGAUGUAGGUUUGAUGGAAGACUGAUGUAGGUUUGAUGGAAGACUGAUGUAGGUUUGACGGAAGACUGAUGUAGGUUUGACGGAGGAUGGAUGUAAGUUGUUUCUUAAAACAAUAUUGUCUUUCAGUCCCUAAUAACCUGUUUGUAAAGUACAAAUGAAAAAGUGUUACUUUAGACCAGGUUCUCCCCCGUCAUGAUGUCUGUCUAAGCCUGCAUCACUGGAACUCGAACACUAGCA